rnacentral:rRNA from 1 species
GACGAACCGUCCAAAAGUUAUUCGGAAUCACUGGGCUUACAGAGUUCGUAGGCGGUCUGGAAAGUUGGGUGUGAAAUCCCUCGGCUCAACCGAGGAACUGCGCUUGAAACUACCAGACUCGAGGGAGAUAGAGGAAAGCGGAACUGAUGGUGGAGCGGUGAAAUGCGUUGAUAUCAUCAGGAACACCGGUGGCGAAGGCGGCUUUCUGGGUCUUACCUGACGCUGAGGAACGAAAGCUAGGGGAGCGAACGGG